CUUUCCUACGGGACGCAGCAGUGAGGAAUAUUGGUCAAUGGGCGGGAGCCUGAACCAGCCAAGUCGCGUGAGGGAAGAAGGUACUGAGUAUUGUAAACCUCUUUUGCCAGGGGACAAAGGCGGCCACGGGUGGCCGUAAGAGGGUACCUGGAGAAAAAGCAUCGGCUAACUCCGUGCCAGCAGCCGCGGUAAUACGUAGGUGGCAAGCGUUAUCCGGAUUUACUGGGUGUAAAGGGCGUGUAGGCGGGACUGCAAGUCAGAUGUGAAAAU
rnacentral:rRNA from 1 species